GACGAACGCUGGCGGCGUGCUUAACACAUGCAAGUCGAACGGAAAGGCCUGCUUUCCCUUGUGGAUUGCGGGUACUCGAGUGGCGAACGGGUGAGUAACACGUGAGUGAUCUGCCCCCAACUUGGGUAUAAGCCUGGGAAACUGGGUCUAAUUCCCGAUAGGACUGCAGGGUGGUGCCUGUGGUGGAAAACGAUUUUCUAGUGGUUGGGGAUGAGCUCGCGGCCUAUCAGCUUGUUGGUGGGGUAAUGGCCUACCAAGGCGGCGACGGGUAGCCGGCCUGAGAGGGUGGACGGCCACAUUGGGACUGAGAUACGGCCCAGACGCCUACGGGAGGCAGCAGUGGGGAAUAUUGCACAAUGGGCGGAAGCCUGAUGCAGCGACGCCGCGUGGGGGAUGACGGCCUUCGGGUUGUAAACUCCUUUCGACCGCGAGGAAGCCACCUGGUUGGAAGGGUGGUGACGGUAGUGGGAGAAGAAGCACCGGCUAACUACGUG
rnacentral:rRNA from 1 species